rnacentral:rRNA from 1 species
AUUGAACGCUGGCGGCAGGCCUAACACAUGCAAGUCGAGCGGAAGCAGGGAGCUUGCUCCUGGAUUCCGCGGCGGACGGGUGUGUAAUGCCUAUGAAUCUGCCUCGUAGUGGGGGAUAACGUCCGGAAACGGGUGCUCAUAUCGCAUACGUCCUGAGGGAGAAAGUGGGGGAUCUUCGGACCCCACGCUAUCAGAUGAGCCAAGUUCGGAUUAGCUAGUUGGUGGGUAAAGGCCUACCAAGGCGACGACCCGUAACUGGUCUGAGAGGAUGAUCAGUCACACUGGAACUGAGACACGGUCCAGACUCCUACGGGAGGCAGCAGUGGGGAAUAUUGGACAAUGGGCGAAAGCCUGAUCCAGCCAUGCCGCGUGUGUGAAGAAGGUCUUCGGAUUGUAAAGCACUUUAAGUUGGGAGGAAGGGCAGUAAGUUAAUACCUUGCUGUUUUGACGUUACCAACAGAAUAAGCACCGGCUAACUUCGUG